UAGUCGGUAGCAGAGGAGAGCCUCAGAGGCGCACCGCGCAGGCGCGCUCGCCGCUCCGCUCCAAUCCUCCCCCAAAUCGCGUCGCGUCGCCGCUUCUGUCUCGUCUCCGCCACUCCCUCCGAUCUCCCCGCUCCUCGUCUCCUCCUCCUCUCGCUCUGCGGCGCAGCGGCAGGUGCCAGCGCCAUCGCCCAUCGGCCGCCCGGGCCCGACGCGGCAACACCCCGGCCGGCGGCGGCCACGAUUCUACCCCCGCCGCCCCUCAUGGCGGCGACGGCGCGUCGGCGUCGGGUCCCUCUCCCUCCUGCUCGACGAGUCGACGGCUCUGCUCCAGCCUCCCUCUAGUGCCCUACUACCCUGCGCCCCUGCCCCUUGCCCCCGGCCGACCGGCCCCUGCUAGUGCAUCGGCAUAGACGCCAAGUAGGACCACCCAACGAUUCGUUCCUGGAGCUGCCACUGAGGCCGGCAGCAGAGAGGGCGGAGCGGCGAUGGGCGGGCGGCAGGCGAGCGCGGCGGCGGGUUUGCGCGGCAGGCAAGCACGGCUUGCGGGCGGAGCAGCGGCGGCAUGGAGCGGCGCUGGGAUGCGGGCAGAGCGGUGAUGGGCGGCGGCGGGCGAGCAGACGAGCACGGCAGGCGGAGGAGGGGGCCGCUACGGCGGAGGUGGCCGAAGGAGGAGCGUGGCGGUGGUGGGCGAGCUCCGCCAGCCUACUCAGCCCACCACGUUGCCGAAGAAAGGGAGGAGCAUGGCGACAACGGUGGUGAGGCAGACGAACUCCGAGCGCGAAGGGCCCCACGCGGAGCUCCUUGGCGAUGAACGUGCUGUCCGGCCACCGGCAGGACGCCUAGCGCUCGACGAAGACGAAGAUUGGUUGGACGAACACCUGGUAGGCGCCGACGAGGUGCACGACGAUGGUGAACCCGAACCCCAUGAGGAGGUUGUCCGGCAACGCGUAGCCCAUGCACCCACAUAGCAUGUAGAACACCGUCGUCGUCACCACGCUCAGCCUCGUCGCGCUCUUCAUCACCUUCGCCUCCAACGGUGGCGGCGCCUUGAUCGUGUCCUAAACAACAAAACAGAGCAAGCAGCGGUGAGCAAACAAGGUUUGGUUAGAGAAAAAAAAACAGAGCAAAUUAACUUUGUAGCUAAUGGUGUUAGUCUCACUCACUUGUAUCUCGAUGAGGAUGUUGGAGAAGGAGUAGGCGAAGGUGAUGUCACUGAAUGCCUGCAGGCUGUGCCACACCUUCUGCGUUGAGCUGACACCGACGCCGAUGAUGAUGUCGGUGAGGCUGCCAUGGAUCCCGCCAUUGGCUACAAAUUCAGAGCUCAUCACGGUAAGCAAAGACAAAUUAAAGAACCAGAAUAUCUGUAUGUGACAGAAGGAAGAAUUAAUGGACGUUACUCGAGCUGCGGCACGGGUCGCCAUGGCCGUUGUGGUGUAAGGGUUACUCGCGCUCGUCUGCUCGCCCGCCGUCGUGCUCGUCCGCUCUAACCGCCACCGUGCUCGGCCGCUCGCCCGCCGUCGCUCGGCUGCCGUGCUCGCACGCCUCCGCGCUCGCCCGCUGCCCGCCCAUCGCUGAGAUAAAGAGAAGAGAAGGAAAAGAAAAGAAAAGAAAGAAAAUGUGCAACUGACAUGUGGACCCCACGUACUUUUUUAUUUUUUUGCUGAAUAGGAUGCCACGUCAGCGAAACCACCCACAUAUACUGCCAUGGGACCUCCUUUAAACGAUUUGUAUGAGUUGAGGAUACACAUUUCUGGUUUUAUGGUUAAGGGACUUUAAAAAAUCUCGCUGUUAA